rnacentral:lncRNA from 1 species
CCUGACCUCAGGUGAUCCACCCACCUCGGCCUCCCAAAGUGCUGGGAUUACAGGCAUGAGCCACCCACCCAGUGAGAGAUUUAUUAUCUAUAAAGGGUUGUAGCCUGCAGGGUUGUCCUUCUGACAGGCUGGGAAGCAUAGCCUCCAGCCAGAAGCCAGAAACAGACGCUUCAAGGAGGAGGUAAAGGAAAUAGCAAUUUAUGCUGAGUGGAAUGGCCAAAUAGAUUUAUUUAAUAAGCUCUAGGAGGAGUCAUGAAUAUUUAUGGAAGGAGAAAUGCAUGCACGCACAAUUGAGUUUCUUGCUUCUUCAUGGGUCCCAUGUACAAAAAAUGGCAGUGUUAGCAUGAUCCCAGGGUGGAGUUUUCAGCCCUCUGACAUUAAAAGGUGAAGCAGAGGACAUGAAAACUCGCUCUGUGCAUCCUCUGUACGCUGGCCAGAACCUCUCCAUCGUGGGUGGUCUCUUAUCAGGCAAGAAAGGAGAGGUUGAUAUCAGUGGUGGAGGCUUUGAAAGGGCUGGUUUCUGUUAAAUCCUUAGGGAAGAAAGCCUCAUCAUGGUUAGCAAAGGAGGGGGUAUAACGAUGUGUAUCUUAACCCCAUCAUCCCAUCCUAGCAAAGCUGAGAACUCAGUUUUGAAAGUUACUCUGGGGUCCCCUCAGCCAAGAGUGGGUCUGUUCAGUCAGUUGGGAGCUUAGAAUUUCAUUUUCAUUUAUCAAUGCUAAUGCGAAAGAGUACGCUGUCUUCAUGGCAGCUGAAUUUGCAAGAAACUCCUUGGAUGGGGUUAAUGGCAGCUGUAUUUUUCUGGGAGCUCUGCUUUAAUUGGAUAAAGUAAGUUCUGGUAAGAUUUCUUCAUCUUCAGUAUCUCAAAUGUUUUCAUUUAAAUAAUCUUUAUAACAACUUUUGAUGUCUGAGUGGAUUCCCACACAGUCAUCUAUUGUAAGACUUUCUGAUUCCUUUUUUUUCCUUUGGUCAUUAUGAAUAGGGCUUCUGUAAAUAACUGCAUGGUAGCUUUUGAUGGGAAAUAACAUCAAAGUAGUUGUCAAAAUACUUAGGAAUGUUAUUUUUGGAUUGUAAGGUGAGACUUGUUUAGCUUUGGAAAAAAAUGCACAACUUGUAAUAGGGGAGGAAAAAUAAUUUUCUGUUUUUGGAAUUCUUAGAUGGAACGCUCUGUAAAAACUGACAGAUUAAAAUGAGAAAAACAGAAAAGUUUAAAAACAUGUAUAUCUUAUGGUUACAUGGGAGAUACUCAGGGAAAAAUGAGUAAAUCUCCAACAGGUGGCUUUCAAUUCAAGCAUAAAUACUAUCUUCAACUUAAAGAAAGAAGAUUUGAGGUGCAGUAGUGGGGAGCUAACCAGCAAAAGCACAUUAGACAAGGGUAAGGUGCGUUAUACAGACUUAAGUCCACGCAUUCUCCAUUGAUAAGACUCUUCAGUGAUUUAGUUAUCCUUCUCUUCUUGGCGUCGAGAGAGGUAGCUUUUAAAUGGUGAUUUCCUUUAUAGAUGUAAAUUUUCCUUACACAAGUAACUUCUCUAUUUUCACAACUUCCUUUGUUAGCAUUUUUUUUCAAAAUAAUUAGCUUGGAAUAAUUCUUAAGCCAAAGGGACAUAUUUUGGGGUUGCAUAUUCUGGUUUCCUACCAUUAUAUUUCGGGGUGGCAUAGUUUGGUCUUAUACACUGUGUUCCACUGGCAAUGAAAAGAGUUCUUGGUUUUCCUCCAGCAAUUUGUCAUUUGUUAAAGAGCUUAGCAGUUCUAAGAGAUAUAGACCAGCUGUGCUAUCUUUUUGUGGUUUUCAGUUCUCUAGUAUGUUGAGCAUCUUUUUGUAAGUGUACUUGCCAUCUGUAGAUCUUCUUUGGUGAAGUGUCUGUUCAGAUCUGUGUGCAUUUUUAAUUGGGUUGUUUAACUUAUUGUUUAGUUUUAACAAUUUUUUAUAUAUUUUGAAUACAAAUUCUCAGAUCUGUAUUUUGCAAAUAUUUUCUUCAACAUGUGGCUUGUCUUUUUGUUCUCUUAACAAGGUCUCUUCCAGAGUAUAAACUGUAAAUAUUAAG